UUUUGUCCUACCAUUAUUCUAUCCUUGCUAAACAAGAUGGCCAUGAAACAUGUUAUUAUCUGUUGUCUUCUCUUAGCCCUCAUGCUGCAGUCAGAUCAAACAUCUGCUGCUGACAUAUGCAGCUAUGCAGAUUUUAGGGCCAUGUUUUGCAAGAAUUGGAUGUGCAAGAGCCAGUGCUGGUUUCAAUCGCAGCUAAUAACGCCUCCGAAUGUAGUGAAGGAACACAGGUGUAUAAAAGGAGGAAUCUAUGGGUUGUGUCACUGUGUCUUCUGUAAAAAGUAGUUGUAUCAUCUUUGUUAAUUUUUAUUAGGAACAUAAUGUCUCUUGGCAGGGACCUCUCAGACAUUUAGAUAGUAGUUUAGCCUCAUCCUCUCUAUAGUAGUUGUCUGUUUCUGCUCUAGGAAUUCAACAUAUUUGCUUCAAUCUUCUGUUUUCUGAAAAGGAAAAUCUUUGCAUGAAUAAUACAAUGGUCUCCAACAUUGGUUCAA